AGUGAACGCUGGCGGUAGGCCUAACACAUGCAAGUCGAACGGCAGCACAGGAGAGCUUGCUCUCUGGGUGGCGAGUGGCGGACGGGUGAGGAAUACAUCGGAAUCUACUCUGUCGUGGGGGAUAACGUAGAGAAACUUACGCUAAUACCGCAUACGACCUACGGGUGAAAGCAGGGGAUCUUCGGACCUUGCGCGAUUGAAUGAGCCGAUGUCGGAUUAGCUAGUUGGCGGGGUAAAGGCCCACCAAGGCGACGAUCCGUAGCUGGUCUGAGAGGAUGAUCAGCCACACUGGAACUGAGACACGGUCCAGACUCCUACGGGAGGCAGCAGUGGGGAAUAUUGGACAAUGGGCGCAAGCCUGAUCCAGCCAUACCGCGUGGGUGAAGAAGGCCUUCGGGUUGCAAAGCCCUUUUGUUGGGAAAGAAAUCCAGCUGGUUAAUACCCGGUUGGGAUGACGGUACCCAAAGAAUAAGCACCGGCUAACUUCGUGCCAGCAGCCGCGGUAAUACGAAGGGUGCAAGCGUUACUCGGAAUUACUGGGCGUAAAGCGUGCGUAGGUGGUUAUUUAAGUCCGUUGUGAAAGCCCUGGGCUCAACCUGGGAACUGCAGUGGAUACUGGAUGACUAGAAUGUGGUAGAGGGUAGCGGAAUUCCUGGUGUAGCAGUGAAAUGCGUAGAGAUCAGGAGGAACAUCCAUGGCGAAGGCAGCUACCUGGACCAACAUUGACACUGAGGCACGAAAGCGUGGGGAGCAAACAGG
rnacentral:rRNA from 1 species